ACCCAAAUUAAAUCCAGCAGCAUGGUGCUUCACAGCCAGUUUACUUACCCAAGAUGAGUGCUACUCUCUCCUACCAUGCUAACUUUUAUCCUUAUGAUCUGUGCUUGGGUAGAUCUGGACUAGGAGUGAGACAACCUCUAACCUUGACAACCCACACCAC
rnacentral:ribozyme from 2 species